GAAAUGCGAUAAGUAGUGUGAAUUGCAGAAUUCAGUGAAUCAUCGAAUCUUUGAACGCACAUUGCGCCCCUUGGUAUUCCAUGGGGCAUGCCUGUUCGAGCGUCAUUUGUACCCUCAAGCUUUGCUUGGUGUUGGGUGUUUGUCUACACAUUCGUGUAGACUCGCCUUAAAUCAAUUGGCAGCCGGCAUGUUAGCCUGGAGCGCAGCACAUUUUGCGCACCUUGUUAGCUAUUGUUGGCCCCCAUCAAGACUAUAUAUUUGCUCUUGACCUCGGAUCAGGUAGGGAUACCCGCUGAACUUAA
rnacentral:misc_RNA from 1 species